AUUGAACGCUGGCGGAAUGCUUUACACAUGCAAGUCGAACGGCAGCACGGACUUCGGUCUGGUGGCGAGUGGCGAACGGGUGAGUAAUGUAUCGGCACGUGCCCAGUCGUGGGGGAUAACGUAGUGAAAAUUACGCUAAUACCGCAUACGAUCUAUGGAUGAAAGCGGAGGAUCGCAAGACCUCGCGCGAUUGGAGCGGCCGAUAUCAGAUAGGUAGUUGGUGGGGUAAAGGCCCACAAAGCCAACGGUCUGUAGCUGGUCUGAGAGGACGACCAGCCACACUGGAACUGAGACACGGUCCAGACUUCUACGGGAGGCAGCAGUGGGGAAUUUUGGACAAUGGGCGAAAGCCUGAUCCAGCCAUUCCGCGUGCAGGAUGAAGGCCCUCGGGUUGUAAACUGCUUUUGUACAGAACGAAAAGGUUUCUACUAAUACUAGGAGCUCAUGACGGUACUGUAAGAAUAAGCACCGGCUAACUACGUGCCAGCCGCCGCGGUAA
rnacentral:rRNA from 1 species